CGGCAAUAGCUCAAGUUUAGAAUCUGUAGUCGUCUCGGCUACCGAAUUGUAAUCUAAAGGGGCUAACAAAAGGCAAGGUAGAGGGAUAAGUUCCUUGGAACAGGACAUCAUAGAGGGUGAAAAUCCCGUAUGUAUCCUUUACCGAACCGAAUGUUGACCUUCU
rnacentral:rRNA from 1 species